AACGCACAUUGCGCCCCGUAGUAUUCCGCGGGGCAUGCCUGUUCGAGCGUCAUUAUGACCAAUCCCGCAAGGGGUCUUGGGGCCCGCCUCUCCUGGCGGCUCUUAAAAUCAGUGGCGGUGCCAUCGUGCUCUAAGCGUAGUAAUACUCCUCGCUACAGUCCCACGGUGGAUGCUUGCCAGCAACCCUCAACUCAUUAGGUUGACCUCGGAUCAGGUAGGGAUACCCGCUGAACUUAA
rnacentral:misc_RNA from 1 species